rnacentral:rRNA from 1 species
GCAGCAGCCGCGGUAAUACGUAGGUGGCAAGCGUUGUCCGGAAUUAUUGGGCGUAAAGGGCUCGCAGGCGGUUUCUUAAGUCUGAUGUGAAAGCCCCCGGCUCAACCGGGGAGGGUUAUUGGAAACUGGGAAACUUGAGUGCAGAAGAGGAGAGUGGAAUUCCACGUGUAGCGGUGAAAUGCGUAGAGAUGUGGAGGAACACCAGUGGCGAAGGCGACUCUCUGGUCUGUAACUGACGCUGAGGAGCGAAAGCGUGGGGAGCGAACAGGAUUAGAUACCCCAGUAGUCCCUGUCUCUUAUAA